rnacentral:rRNA from 1 species
AGAAUGAACGCUGGCGGCGUGCUUAACACAUGCAAGUCGAGCGAGGCCAGGGGGGCAACUCCCUGAGUCGAGCGGCGGACGGGUGAGUAACACGUGGGUAACCUACCCGGAAGUGGGGAAUACCUCGGGGAAACUCGAGCUAAUACCGCAUAACAUCUUCGGGACGAAAGUCCUGACGAUCAAAGCGGGGUCGCAAGAUCUCGCGCUACCGGAUGGGCCCGCGCCCGAUUAGCUAGUUGGUGAGGUAAUGGCUCACCAAGGCGACGAUCGGUAACCGG